GGGAGGUAAUCAUGAUACGUGGAAGCAAGGGAGGAAACUGAAGGGGAAAAAAAAGCUAAUGCAAGUGUUUGUAUGUACAAGUACCCCAGUAAAUUAGAAACAGUUGGGGACCUGAAGACUUCUGAAGUGAUUCUACAAGUUGCAAGAUUCCAAUAGCUCAAAUGUAAGUCAACAAGAUGACUUCUAGAUCAUUUUUAUCUGAACUUUUUUCAAAUGUCUACCACAACUAUUACUUGUGUAUCAUGUGCACAUUUCUGAAAUCCAUGUUGCUGUGAAGUGAGAUUAACAUUACUCUUAUAAUGGAUUCAGAUUUGAAAAACAAAAUAAUGGAGACUUUAACUUACAAGUGACAUCACAUUUACUGCUGAACAAUCUUUCAAAUGGAGGUUGACAUUUUGUUGAUGUCUGUCCAUACAGUAGGUACGCACUGUAGCAGGUUUGACUUUCAAAUCUAUUCUACUAUCUAGUAGAUUCAAAGUUUCCUUUUCACACAACUUCGAAAAAAAAAAAAAGGGGGGAAUAAGCCAGCAAUGGCUUCAGUUGAUGUCAGCUAUACAUGGCUAUGUACUACUUCACUUUCAGACCCAACUAGUGUGUAGAAUAUUUGACCAGUUCAUGUGGAUAUAUAGACUUGUGUUUUUUUUUAAACAUUUUAAACAAAACAUUACAUUUAUUUGUGUUAAGAAAAAUAAGUUUUUAAGUCAAUACCAUUCCCAAAAUGGUACUACAUGACACCACAAUAUAAUAAUGUAUAUAAUAAUGUCAUGUGGAUACUAGGCACUGAAAGGAAUCAAUCAACAAUUCAUUUUGUGUUCUUUUGUAUUUUCUUGUAGUCUGUUAUUUACAUUAUGUACAUCAUAAGUCAACACACACACACACAGUCUAUACAAUCCCUGCACACAAGGGAAGUGACUCCCAGUUCAUCAACAAUUACAUACAGAUCUAAAAAUCUAGCAAAAUAAAAAAAAAAAACCUAAUACAAUCACAUACCCAGUGACGUUUUAAGUAGCACUCCCUCACACAAUCUCACAAGUAGCACUUCCCCCACACACAAUCUCACAUCACAAUGUCUAGCAGCUAUUGGCCAGACAAAAAAAAAAA
rnacentral:sRNA from 1 species